AAGGAAUGGGUGACGUUUUGGGUUGAGGAGGAGAACUUCGCCAACGUGGACAUACCUUGAGGAGAUUUGGCAGUGGAGCGGACAAAAUGUGCAAGAA